CCUACGGGAGACAGCAGUGAGGAAUAUUGGUCAAUGGACGAGAGUCUGAACCAGCCAAGUAGCGUGAAGGAUGACUGCCCUAUGGGUUGUAAACUUCUUUUAUAAAGGAAUAAAACGCGGCACGUGUGCCUUUUUGCAUGUACUUUAUGAAUAAGGAUCGGCUAACUCCGUGCCAGCAGCCGCGGUAAUCCGGAGGAUCCGAGCGUUAUCCGGAUUUAUUGGGUUUAAAGGGAGCGUAGAUGGGUUGUUAAGUCCGUUGUGAAAGUUUGCGGCUCAACCGUAAAAUUGCAAUUGAUACUGGCAGGCUGGAGUACAGUUGAGGUAGGCGGAAUUCGUGGUGUAGCGGUGAAAUGCUUAGAUAUCACGAAGAACCCCGAUUGCGAAGGCAGCUUACUAAACUGUGACUGACAUUGAUGCUCGAAAGUGUGGGUAUCAAACAGGAUUAGAUACCCCAGUAGUC
rnacentral:rRNA from 1 species